GACGAACGCUGGCGGCGUGCUUAACACAUGCAAGUCGAACGGUAAGGCCCUUCGGGGUACACGAGUGGCGAACGGGUGAGUAACACGUGGGUGAUCUGCCCUGCACUUCGGGAUAAGCCUGGGAAACUGGGUCUAAUACCGGAUAGGACCACUGCCUGCAUGGGUGGUGGUGGAAAGCUUUUGCGGUGUGGGAUGGGCCCGCGGCCUAUCAGCUUGUUGGUGGGGUGAUGGCCUACCAAGGCGACGACGGGUAGCCGGCCUGAGAGGGUGACCGGCCACACUGGGACUGAGAUACGGCACGGGCUCCUACGGGAGGCAGCAGUGGGGAAUAUUGCACAAUGGGCGCAAGCCUGAUGCAGCGACGCCGCGUGAGGGAUGACGGUCUUCGGGUUGUAAACCUCUUUCAGCACCGACGAAGCGCAAGUGACGGUAGGUGCAGAAGAAGGACCGGCCAACUACGUGCCAGCCGCCGCGGUAA
rnacentral:rRNA from 1 species